GUAUUAGUUAAGAUCUUGAAAUCCAAAGGAUUUGGCGGUAUUUUAGUCUUUUCAGAGGAGCCUGUUCCUUAAUCGAUAGUCCACGAUAUAAUUUACUUUUUCUUGUUUUCAGUUUGUAUACCUCCGUCAUAAGGAUGUCCUAUUAGGGGUAAUUUCCUUGAUUAAUAAAUUUAAUUAUGUCAGGUCAAGGUGCAGUUAAUGAAAAAGUGGAGAUGGGCUACAAUAAACCUAUUUAUAUGGAUAAGUGGAAUUAUAUUUAUUUUGAAGGUGGAUUUGAAAGUAAAAUUAAUGAUUAGUUUUUUUGAUUUAUAGCUCUAAAAUAUGCACACAUCGCCCG
rnacentral:rRNA from 1 species